rnacentral:rRNA from 1 species
AGCGAACGCUGGCGGCAGGCCUAACACAUGCAAGUCGAACGAACCUUUCGGGGUUAGUGGCGGACGGGUGAGUAACACGUGGGAACGUGCCUUUAGGUUCGGAAUAACUCAGGGAAACUUGUGCUAAUACCGAAUGUGCCCUUCGGGGGAAAGAUUAGUCGCCUUUAGAGCGGCCCGCGUCUGAUUAGCUAGUUGGUUGAGGUAAUGGCUCACCAAGGCGACGAUCAGUAGCUGGUCUGAGAGGAUGAUCAGCCACACUGGGACUGAGACACGGCCCAGACUCCUACGGGAGGCAGCAGUGGGGAAUCUUAGACAAUGGGGGCAACCCUGAUCUAGCCAUGCCGCGUGAGUGAUGAAGGCCUUAGGGUUGUAAAGCUCUUUCAGCUGGGAAGAUAAUGACGGUACCAGCAGAAGAAGCCCCGGCUAACUCCGUG